rnacentral:pre_miRNA from 1 species
UUUUCAGCACAAGUAUGUCCCAUGCAAUAUUGCGGACAUACUUAUACUAAAA